AUGUUUUGGUGGAAAAAAGAGAUGACUCCCAUUAUUCCCUUAAACUUCUCCAUUACCAAAUAAAAAGAAACCGCCAAUUCAUUAAAAGAGGGAACUAACUCUUUAGUCCAUUGCUAGGGUUACAUGAAGUGGCUGUCUCUACCUUCCCCUUCACCUCAAGCUUGCAAUCAGAAUAUGACUUCUAAAUAUUGGCAAGGAUCUAGGACGGAUUUGCGAUUUUAAGGGUAGUUCGGUUCAAGUGGAUUUAAAUGUUUAAUUUACAUUCAUAAAAUCUCGUUUAUUGGUGAAGCCUCUGAACUUCUCUUGGGACGAAUCUAUAUUCCAGCUCCAAUUGAUUUGUUUGUUUUCCUAAUUUUGUUUUUAAGUCCUGAGAGAGCACACAAUGUUCUGUUGAUGUUUUCCUUAUGACUGCUAGAUAUCUUAAUUAUGAAGUUAGAAACGUUCUUCCUCAAUUGCCUUCUGAACAAAAGUUUUGAUAUCAUGCAAUUUAAAUCCACAUUCUUUAAUUGAACCUUUAAGAGUUAGAUUUUUACUAUUAUUUUCUUUGUUUUUAGGAUAAAUCUGCUAGUACACGUAGCUGAAGAAGUUUUGCGAUCAAGCAUUGUGCCUUCAAGCAUUGGUGCAGGAAAUUUUGUUUCAAGCUUCAGACUUGAAAGUGCUUGAGCACUAGGCUCUUUAUUGAACAGAACAAGUGGUUCAUGAAUUGGCAAAGGAAAUUUGACAGUGGAGGUGGUGAUCCACAACUUCUCAGAUUUUUGGACGAAGGGCAUGAAUAUGUGUUGGUCCCAAAAGAAAUAUGGGAGAAUCUCUCCGAGUGAUACAAAGGAGGACCAGUAUUACCUCAGAAAAUAAUUUAUGUGGGAGAUGCCAAGCAACUUAGCAUGGAGGUGUUCCCGUUAUGUCUCAGCUUAUUUGAUACUAGAGAUAACAGCCACAAGGUUACAUGGUUAAACGAAAUGGCAUCUUGACAUGAACUCUAAUUCGUAGUGUGUAGACUCAAAGGAAUGGCGCCAGCAAAAGAUUUGUUCUGUUUCAUGUCAUGAAGCAGAAUUUCUUUUAGAAUGAGACAAAAAAACUCAUCCUUCUAUCAUUUUCUGGAUUACACAGGCACACAUCUCGGAUUAUUUUUAUAAAAUGAAACAUAAUGUGUUAGUUGCUUCAAACCAAAAACUGGAGGACUCCAACUAGCAGAUGAAUCAAGAUAUCGAGAAUUUGAAGUCCGCAGUACAUGUCAUUUGAAGAAAUUGCUGAGCAAUACAAACGCAAUAGGUGCACAGGGAGACAGACUUGAUCCAUAGCUGCUUAUUCAGAGAUUACAUAACGGAGCUCCGUUUCCUUCGGAGCCACAGCUUUUGGGUACUUAUUCUUUUGUGUAUAUAAUUAUGGGCAUAGCGGGGUCCUGUCCCGCUCAUGUGAUGUGUUAUACUCUUCGUAGAGGCUCGUAGUCAUGUGUAUAUGGUUAGACAUGUCCGACCUUGUCGGCCUAUGUUUUGUGUAUCAUUUUGUCGGCCACGUUGGCCCAUGUACAUUGAUGUGGCAUAGAGGCCUAUGGUGAUAUAAAUGUACUGUUGUCCAAUUGGGACUCGUUGACGAAUGAAUGGAAAUGUAUGUAUAAUUAUGUGGCU